GGGCAAGUAGUCAAGUGGCCAACGACGACAGACUGUAAAUCUGUUCUCUUCGGAGUUCGGUGGUUCGAAUCCAUCCUUGCCCA
rnacentral:tRNA from 1 species